CUCUAAUAUUAUUUCAGAUUAUAUAUUUUAAGGAAUAUAUACAGUAAAGUAUUAGAUAUUAAAGAGGUUUAUUCCCUCCUAAUGUAGGUAAAUAUGUAUCAGUAAAUUAUAUGUUAGUAAGCUUUUUUAGUAGAAUGUAUGUAAUUUAC
rnacentral:ncRNA from 1 species